rnacentral:rRNA from 1 species
AUUGAACGCUGGCGGCAGGCCUAACACAUGCAAGUCGAGCGGUAGAGAGAAGCUUGCUUCUCUUGAGAGCGGCGGACGGGCGAGUAAUGCCUAGGAAUCUGCCUGGUAGUGGGGGAUAACGUUCGGAAACGGACGCUAAUACCGCAUACGUCCUACGGGAGAAAGCAGGGGACCUUCGGGCCUUGCGCUAUCAGAUGAGCCUAGGUCGGAUUAGCUAGUUGGUGAGGUAAUGGCUCACCAAGGCGACGAUCCGUAACUGGUCUGAGAGGAUGAUCAGUCACACUGGAACUGAGACACGGUCCAGACUCCUACGGGAGGCAGCAGUGGGGAAUAUUGGACAAUGGGCGAAAGCCUGAUCCAGCCAUGCCGCGUGUGUGAAGAAGGUCUUCGGAUUGUAAAGCACUUUAAGUUGGGAGGAAGAGUUGUAGAUUAAUACUCUGCAAUUUUGACGUUACCGACAGAAUAAGCACCGGCUAACUCUGUGCCAGCAGCCGCGGUAAUACAGAGGGUGCAAGCGUUAAUCGGAAUUACUGGGCGUAAAGCGCGCGUAGGUGGUUUGUUAAGUUGGAUGUGAAAUCCCCGGGCUCAACCUGGGAACUGCAUUCAAAACUGACUGACUAGAGUAUGGUAGAGGGUGGUGGAAUUUCCUGUGUAGCGGUGAAAUGCGUAGAUAUAGGAAGGAACACCAGUGGCGAAGGCGACCACCUGGACUAAUACUGACACUGAGGUGCGAAAGCGUGGGGAGCAAACAGG